AUUGAACGCUGGCGGCAGGCCUAACACAUGCAAGUCGAGCGGAGCGGCGGACGGGUGAGUAAUGCCUAGGAAUCUGCCUGGUAGUGGGGGAUAACGUCCGGAAACGGGCGCUAAUACCGCAUACUCUCAGAUGAGACUAGCUCGGAUUAGAUAGGUGGUGGGGUAAAGGCCUACCAAGGCGACGACCCGUAACUGGUCUGAGAGGAUGAUCAGUCACACGGGAAAUGAGACACGGUCCAGACUCCUACGGGAGGCAGCAGUGGGGAAUAUUGGACAAGUGGCGAAAUCCUGAUCCAGCCAUGCCGCGUGUGUGAAGAAGGUCUUCGGAUUGUAAAGCACUUUAAGUUGGGAGGCGUUACCAACAGAAUAAGCACCGGCUAACUUCGUGCCAGCAGCCGCGGUAAUAC
rnacentral:rRNA from 1 species